AGCAGCCGCGGUAAUUCCAGCUCCAAUAGCGUAUAUUAAAGUUGUUGCAGUUAAAAAGCUCGUAGUUGAAUUUCGAGAUCAAAUUGUUGGUCGUGCCUUGGUACGCACUGGCAUUAUUGGUUUCUCCCUUCUGACGAACCAUGAUGUCAUUAAUUUGGUGUCUUGGGGAAUCAGGACUGUUACUUUGAAAAAAUUAGAGUGUUUAAAGCAGGCUCACGCUUGAAUACAUUAGCAUGGAAUAAUGAAAUAGGACGUUUGAUUCUAUUUUGUUGGUUUCUAGGAUCGACGUAAUGAUUAAUAGGGAUAGUUGGGGGCAUUAGUAUUCAAUUGUCAGAGGUGAAAUUCUUGGAUUUAUUGAAGACUAACUACUGCGAAAGCAUUUGCCAAGGAUGUUUUCAUUAAUCAAGAACGAAAGUUAGGGGAUCGAAGACGAUCAGAUACCGUCGUAGUCUUAACCAUAAACUAUGCCGACUAGGGAUCGGAUGAUGUUAAUUUUUAAUGACUC
rnacentral:rRNA from 1 species